rnacentral:rRNA from 1 species
GGAAUCUUCCACAAUGGACGAAAGUCUGAUGGAGCAACGCCGCGUGAGUGAAGAAGGGUUUCGGCUCGUAAAACUCUGUUGUUAAAGAAGAACAUAUCUGAGAGUAACUGUUCAGGUAUUGACGGUAUUUAACCAGAAGGCCACGGCUAACUACGUGCCGG